GACAGAGGGUGCAAACGUUGUUCGGAAUUACUGGGCGUAAAGCGCGUGUAGGCUGCUCGGCAAGUCGGGUGUGAAAGCCCGGGGCUCAACCCCGGAACUGCCCUCGAAACUAGGUAGCUAGAAUCUUGGAGAGGUCAGUGGAAUUCCGAGUGUAGAGGUGAAAUGCGUAGAUAUCAGGAGGAACACCGGUGGCGAAGGCGGAUCUCUGGACCAGUUCUGACACUGAUGAGCGAAAGCCAGGGGAGCAAACAGG
rnacentral:rRNA from 1 species